CCUCUCGCCUCCUUCCCGCUCUGGUCCUUCUCCCCCGGGGAGCGGCUGAGGCGGGACCGGAGGUGGGGAGCCUCCAGAAGCGGCCCCACCGCGCACCCCACGGCCUCGGGUGAGGGGCUGCUCGUUGCCGUGGGGGCCAGGCCUUUGGUUGCCGCCUGGGCAGGCGAGGGUGGGUACCCCCAAGCAAGCCCUUUCCCUCAGCCGGGGGCAAACCCAGCCCCAAGCCAGGCAAAGGGCUGUCCUGCCCAGGCGGCAGCAGCCGUGCACCCCUUUUUUUUUCUCCUGCCAUGCUGAGUUUUCAAGGCGAAAAGCGAACAAAGUGGCUUUUACACUCUCCAUCGACCGCAGCGCUUGCCCAUCCAAAGCUCUGUUCCUGGCUGCAAUAAUUCUGCAAGUACGAGCAUGAACGGCUUGUCCAGCUGUGCUUAUAUUGACACUGAUUGGGGCAUAUGAAAGAGGAACUUACACGAGGGAACUGUCAACUAAACGUUCUGGCAGACUGAAAACUUUCCCACGAAGACCUGGAAGGAAGAGGGAAAUUUGUCAUAGCAUGCUAUCAAACAUUUCCCGGAGCACCUCAAGUUAAUGAAAUGCUAAGGACCAGGGUAUGAUUUCCCAGGCAUUCCAGUGCCAAAUCCACAUAAGUAGCAGUGCCGGUGGGGAUUUGGGUUUGUGGAUAUAGAUGGUUAUCGUCACUGCAGCAUGGAUACUCCUGGACCAGCUUAGCAAGUACAAGGUGCAUUCUUAUCAGCCAUUACAAUCAUUAGACCUGCACAUGGUGAGUAAAAUUCUAGUCCUGAUGUGUACCUGGUAUUCAAUUCACCUAGAACUCUUAAGCAUGAAAAAAGGGACAUAGAAGAACAGAAAUGGUAACGAUAGAUUUUUCCUUAUAAAAUGGUAGCAAUAGGUCAGACAAAAAUAAACUCUCUGCAUGUUCUCUGAGCACAGGAUAAGAAAUAAUUGGUCUGAAUUGUAGGAAAGGAGAGUUAGGAGAAUAUUUAUAGAGACUCUGAAGGCUCCUCCCUCUGCUGUCAAAGAAGCUUAUGCAACGAAUCGUGACUUGGGGACAGGAGAGGAAAGACAGAACAAGUCUGUGCCUGCCCAGCUGUGGACAGAAGAUGGUGACCAGAAGAUCCACCGGAUGGAUCACCAGAAGAGGGUGACUUCUGAGCAUAUGGUCCCAGUUACUGACUCCAGUUUUUCUUGAGUUAUAAGCUGUUACUUUAGUGGGUAUAUGGCUCAAGCCAGCUACAGGCUCCUUAGCCUAUACAGUAGGUCACUCUUGUGGUCUAAGCUAUUCCCCUGUCUCUGUCCUGUAGAGUACUGGGUGUGAUACCAGCUCCUGGCCCUUCCACUACCUCAGCCAGGCAGGUGUUGAGAUGUAUAUAGUACAGAUAUUCAAAAACCCUAUGAUAUUAACUUGCUUGAUUUAGAAUAAUAUAUCCAAGAUUUUUGCCAUCUGGUAGUUCAAAGUAUGCUCAGAGAUUCUCCAGCAACAGCAGUUCCUCUCUGAAAAUCUUGCCACGUAGCAGAGCUCUUUGAACAACCUCUUUAGUAUGUUCUUGUCUGUGAAAGGCAGUACAGAGUUUGGUAUACAAAUUGUGUGUCUCUGAGGUGAUGUUGAACCAUGAGAAUGUCCUUCACAGCUAUUGCUAGACCUUCAGUGCAAUCUGUUGGAAGGACAGAACUGCUACAGAAACCAACAAGAGGAUUUUGAAAUUUCAGAGUGCGAAGUGAAAACAAGAACAUUUAAGGAAGUCCCUCAUUGUUACAUCUCUUUACUGGAAAGAUGUAAAGAAGAUAGAAACAAGUAUAAAGCUAUGGACAUAGACUGUAUCCACUGUGUAUGACAUAUUGUACUCUUCGUGUCUCAUAGAGUGAAUACAUGGACGUUGUAUUUCCAGAACGGCACAGGAGGGAAGAGAACCAACACUUGUCAUGGUUUUAUGUGCUUAAAUUUUACAAGUAAUAUUAUUUAAGAAACUGCAUUCUCAUUCAGGAGAAACUGUGAUUGUAGGUGAUGCAAAUAGCUGAUAAAGUAUGUUCUGCAUGUCAGUGUCAUGGUGUUCAUCCAGCCUUACUUACUAUGAACUUCAUCAGCUGGUCAGAGCGUAAAAAUUAAAGAGAGAUACAUUAUUUUCAAUCUCUUUCAGCUGUAGCAUAUCACUAUGAGCAUGUUUAUGUGUAAGCUUCUAUAAAAGCUUUCAAGAUUCCUGGUUUAAUAACUAAAGUGGUUCACUGAUUGAUAUUCAUGUGUCAAGCUGUAGUUUCAGAACCAGUUUCAUCUGAUCUAAGUGUGGGCUGCCAGAAGGGGUAGUUUUGUCUUCCCCCUCAGUCCCAACCACAAAGGUCUCUUCUGUCAGAAGCGGUGCUCUGUUCCAACCUGGCUGAAAUCCAACCUGUGAAAAAAAUAAAUCGCUGCAAAAAUAACAAUUAGUUUUCAGCCAUAUCAGCUGUGGUUUCAUCCUGCAGCCCCAGGCAGCCUAAUGCUGGCAUGAGGGAUGGGGAGAGGAAGCAGAGCUGGCAACAGAGGCUAGGGGACCAGUGGGACCUCCUUUUUCCAUGGCAACCUACAUUUAGCUCAGCAUAAUCUGAACUGCAACCUCCUGUUUCCUCUGCACUUAAAAAACCCCUUUACUGCCCUCUCCGUGUUGGUAGAAUACGCAGUUAUCUAUUUAUAUUGACGUACCACUUUAGUAGUUCCUUGUGGGACAGAGUUAUACUGGUGCUCAGAUGCUCUGCCCAACUGGGUAUACUUGGAGGAAUGUAAAACACCUUUAUGCUACUAUAAUAUUAAGAACCUAUGAUUAUUAAAAUAUUUCCCAACGUUUUAAUUAUUGCCAUUCUUCCAAACCAAGGGCAACAAAAGGAUUAAUUUUAAAAUAGGUUUAACUACUGCAGUUCAGCUUGUGGGUUAUCUGUACGAGCGAACAAAAUCCUCUCAAAGUCAGCAGCAAUGGAAUAUAAUGCUGACUGUUCAGCAUUAUAUGAAUGCUGUUCACUCCACAUGUCUCUCUCAGAAAGCC